UCUGGAUAGAAGGAAUUGAGUUUUCCAGAAAUCAAAAAAUCAUCGUUCGGCUUUAUUUAACGCGAAGCUAUUAAAGAAUACUCCAGACGAUACAGAGUUCAAUCAAAACUACGUAAGGAGGAAGGAGAGAAAAGAAAACUCAAGUCAAGUGUGGCAAGAUAGAAACGAAACAAUGUUGGGAGGGUCGAGAAUCUGUGGAGAUAUUACUAAUGAACUUAACACUAUGAACAGGCUGAAAUUCUCUAAAUUUAUCGCUCAUUGGCCUACAUGCAACAAGGCAACAUCUGAUGAUUCUGAUCUUGCAUGAAUGGAAGAGAACAUUUGGCACUCAUAAUUUGGUUAACUUUUGAAGAGAAAGUGAGGAGAAAAUACUCCAAGGAUCUCAUUCCUCCAACAACUAUGGCAGAUUGUUCCCGGUUUACCCUCGCCGCUGUUCGAUAGACAUUAUCAAUUGGUGGAAAAUGACAAGUGGUCGGCCGCGCUGAAAUUCAAGAUCGAUAAAUUAUAUCGAUGUUUAGAAAUUACAAGUGCAUAUCUGGGCUCCCUUCUCAGUGGCCCCGUUUCCCUAAUUAACCACUAACCAACGCCCACCGGUGGUCACUCACUCGCUGCGACAACCAGGAGGAAGGGAGUAGACUGGUCGAACGGGGACUUGCAAGGCGCAUGAUUCGAUGAAAUCUGUUGGAGGGUCAUGAGUCUAAGCCGGAAGCCUACUAAGAUUAAUCGCUCUCGUAAUAACUGUUCCUCGGCUCUCUUCGCUCUUUUUCCGGUUUCUCUUAACCAUGGCCCGGUAAUCUCCCUGGUCGAGUCAGUGCGGGCAAUAAGAAUUUUAAGCUGGAACAACGCCUCCUUUGAGCGGUCCGGACAAUCCUGAAUCCUUUAGGGUUGCCAUUCCAUCGAGGCUUAAACGAGGAUGACGCGGAGGUGUUGCCCAUUGAGUGGUUUUUGUGACAAGGAGUCACUGAACGAAACGCUAAACCCAAUGAAAAAAGCCAACCAUCCUUUAUAUAUCCGAGCCGAGUCCUUUCCGUCUACAUUCGGUGUGAAGAGCAAAACCCAAAUUUCAACACAUUUUACUGCUUAGCAACGAAAACAAAGCGAGUGUCAAAACAUUGUUUUACUUGCGCAUACUUUAUUGUGGCAGAAACGCGUUGGUCAUGUAACAGGGUGGAAUUUUUUUCCCUUUUGUUCAUGCAGCAUCAAACGACACGCGAUAGGUUCCGGCGGUAAUCAACUAUUCAAGAUGGUAGACAUGUCAAUGUAAAAGACAGGAUUUUCUUCUCCGACCGCAGGUGCAAGGAAUAUGUUUGAAACUUAGAAAAGUUUGCAGUAGAAUAUUUAAAAAAAAGUCAACUGUCCUUCAAACGGUUCGAAAUGGAAGAUUUAUUCAUUUGACACCGAAGAAACGAGUCAAAUGUCAAAUGUGGUAUUUUUAAAGUGACUAAAAUUUAAGCCAUUAUCAUUUAUGAUUUGAUAUUUAUUUUGAUAGUGGUUUUUGUUGACCCAUCCCCAGCAACGUCAACCUGCA
rnacentral:lncRNA from 1 species